AUAAAAAAAUAUCUUUAGACUAAACGUUCUUCUUUGCUUCAUCUCUUUCUUUCAACAGUUCCGAGUACAGAAAUUUUUCUCCAUCGAUGUCGAAAUCGAAAGUGGAAAACUCAAAUCAAUCAUAGGGUUUUUCGUUAUUCUGCUUCUUUGAUUACUUCAGAAUCGUCCAAAUCCCGAUUGGAGUUCAGUUCUGACGAUAAAAUCAUCUCUGCUCUCAAAUUUUGAAAGGCCUUACAACUCUCAACAAAAAGACACAGGCACAUUAGAAACCAGUGGCAAAACAGAUUCAUUCCAAAGAAAGUGAGACUGCGUAAUAUUAAAAGUCGAAGCGAAUUAAAGAUACUACAUGCACUUGGAAAAAAGAGUUUGGCAAGAAAAGCUUAUGAGAUUGAAGAGGAGACUGGCAAAGAACCAAGUCGAGCAGAAAUGUUCAUUGCAUCACGAACAAGAUCAGAUGGAAAUUUCAUUUGCAAUGAAGCAAGGAUAUCUGCAGAUAAGCUUACACAAGUAAUGAAUCAAAAUAUUAAAAGUGAAGCAUCAAGUAGUGAGUCUGGUCCUAAGGAUGCAUUUGAACAAGUAUUUGGUUCCGAGCAUUCUGGAAGAGUUCGAUGUGUGGGACGUGGUCCAACACCGUCCAAAUACUUUCAGAAUUUGGAAUCGCAGGUAAGAAGUAACUCUGAGAUACUUGAGCUGAAGUCUCGCAUGAAAGGACUUGAAGAUAAACUUGAUAUCGUGGCUAACGCUCUUCAGAUUAUUAUUUCAAACAAUCAAUUUCAAACUAGUACGACAGAGACUAAGAUUGACUAGAAUGAUCAUAAAGUGACGUGAUAUGGAAUUUAGUGAAGAAUGGAGACAAUGAUUUCAUCUAGCCUUUUGAUAGAAGAUGAAGGACAAGAAAAUAUAGAAGAUGAAGGACAAGAAAAUAUAGAAGAGGAUAUAUAAAAGAUAGAUUUUAAUGCAAUGUUAUUUACUUUUACAUUUUUUAUUAUCAUGUACACAAGAACACAAGUAUAUUUGAGACAGAUUAAUUGAUUUUUAUCACUUGAUGAAUAUUGUGUUCUGGUUA